GGACCCAUAGCUCAAAGGUAGAGCUUCAGAUUCCAGCGCAAUGCGGGGAGUCCUGAAGGUUAUCCGUUCGAUCCGGGUUGUGUUCA